rnacentral:misc_RNA from 1 species
GAUGAAGAACGUAGCGAAAUGCGAUAACUAAUGUGAAUUGCAGAAUUCCGUGAAUCAUCGAGUCUUUGAACGCACAUUGCGCCCCCUGGUAUUCCGGGGGGCAUGCCUGUCCGAGCGUCAUUGCUGCCCAUCAAGCACGGCUUGUGUGUUGGGUCCUCGUCCCCCCCGGGGGACGUGCCCGAAGGCAGCGGCGGCACCGCGUCCGGUCCUCGAGCGUAUGGGGCUUUGUCACCCGCUCUGCAGGCCCGGCCGGCGAUGGCCGACGCGAAAGCAACCAUUUUUUCUCCAGGUUGACCUCGGAUCAGGUAGGGAUACCCGCUGAACUUAAGCAUAUCAAUAAGCGGAGGA